ensembl:lncRNA
UUGUGCAGUAGUUUGAGCAUUCUUUUGCAUUGCCUUUCUUUGGGAUUGGAAUGGAAACUGACCUUUUCCAGUCCUGUGGCCACUGCUGAGUUUUCCGAAUUUGCUGGCAUGUUGAGUGCAGAACUUUCACAGCAUCAUCUUCUGGGAUUUGAAACAGCUCAACUGGAAUUCCAUCGCCUCCACUAGCUCUGUUUGUAGUGAUGCUUCCUAAGGCCCCCUUGACUUCACAUUCCAGGAUGUCUGCCUCUAGGUGCCUAAGGACAUGGAGACCUGGCGGCAACCAUGAGAAAAGCCCUAUGCUCAUGAAGACUCUCAAAAGACUCCAAAACUCUCUGUGCUGUUUAUGGUUGAGAGCCAAGAGUUUUCACUACCUGGAAUUAAAAACAACCUUCAGGAUACCGAAGCGCAAGUUAAAGAAAAUCGUCUAUGCUUCCAAUGGGAGGCGGGGAACAAAUAGUUCACCUACUUGCUUGGAAGGAAAUAUGGCUGAAACAGCUAAUUGACUUUGCGUUCACUUUUCAACUAGUUGUAUUGGCCUUAUGUUUUUCAUUACAUUGUAAAUCUUUUUACCAUAUUGAAAAUUGAGGAACACAUUUGUUCUCCUUGGUUUCAUUCAUCUGAAGGCUGUAGAUGGACAAGUGUACAAGUGCCAGUGGAAAAUGUCUUUUUG